rnacentral:rRNA from 1 species
UACGGAGGAUCCAAGCGUUAUCCGGAUUUAUUGGGUUUAAAGGGUGCGUAGGCGGUUUUAUAAGUUAGAGGUGAAAUCUCGGGGCUCAACUCCGAAAUUGCCUCUAAUACUGUAGGACUAGAGAGUAGUUGCGGUAGGCGGAAUGUAUGGUGUAGCGGUGAAAUGCUUAGAUAUCAUGAAGAACUCCGAUCGCGAAGGCAAGUGUCCGGGGUGCAACUGACGCUGAGGCUCGAAAGUGCGGGUAUCAAACAGG